AACGAACGCUGGCGGCAUGCCUAACACAUGCAAGUCGAACGAGACCUUCGGGUCUAGCGGCGCACGGGUGCGUAACGCGUGGGAACCUGCCCUUAGGUUCGGAAUAACUCCCCGAAAGGGGUGCUAAUACCGGAUAAUGUCUUCGGACCAAAGAUUUAUCGCCUUUGGAUGGGCCCGCGUUGGAUUAGCUAGUUGGUAGGGUAAAAGCCUACCAAGGCGACGAUCCAUAGCUGGUCUGAGAGGAUGAUCAGCCACACUGGGACUGAGACACGGCCCAGACUCCUACGGGAGGCAGCAGUGGGGAAUAUUGGACAAUGGGCGAAAGCCUGAUCCAGCAAUGCCGCGUGAGUGAAGAAGGCCUUAGGGUUGUAAAGCUCUUUUACCCGGGAUGAUAAUGACAGUACCGGGAGAAUAAGCUCCGGCUAACUCCGUG
rnacentral:rRNA from 1 species